UACGUAGGGGGCUAGCGUUGUCCGGAUUUAUUGGGCGUAAAGAGCUCGUAGGCGGCUUGUCACGUCGGGUGUGAAAGCCCGGGGCUUAACCCCGGGUCUGCAUUCGAUACGGGCAGGCUAGAGUGUGGUAGGGGAGAUCGGAAUUCCUGGUGUAGCGGUGAAAUGCGCAGAUAUCAGGAGGAACACCGGUGGCGAAGGCGGAUCUCUGGGCCAUUACUGACGCUGAGGAGCGAAAGCGUGGGGAGCGAACAGG
rnacentral:rRNA from 1 species